rnacentral:rRNA from 1 species
UGGGGAAUAUUGCGCAAUGGGGGGAACCCUGACGCAGCCAUGCCGCGUGAAUGAAGAAGGCCUUCGGGUUGUAAAGUUCUUUCGGUAUUGAGGAAGGUUGAUGUGUUAAUAGCACAUCAAAUUGACGUUAAAUACAGAAGAAGCACCGGCUAACUCCGUGCCAGCAGCCGCGGUAAUACGGAGGGUGCGAGCGUUAAUCGGAAUAACUGGGCGUAAAGGGCACGCAGGCGGUUAUUUAAGUGAGGCGUGAAAGCCCUGGGCUUAACCUAGGAAUUGCAUUUCAGACUGGGUAACUAGAGUACUUUAGGGAGGGGUAGAAUUCCACGUGUAGCGGUGAAAUGCGUAGAGAUGUGGAGGAAUACCGAAGGCGAAGGCAGCCCCUUGGGAAUGUACUGACGCUCAUGUGCGAAAGCGUGGGGAGCAAACAGGAUUAGAUACCCUGGUAGUCCACGCUGUAAACGCUGUCGAUUUGGGGGUUGGGGUUUAACUCUGGCGCCCGUAGCUAACGUGAUAAAUCGACCGCCUGGGGAGUACGGCCGCAAGGUUA